rnacentral:misc_RNA from 1 species
AAGUCGUAACAAGGUUUCCGUAGGUGAACCUGCGGAAGGAUCAUUCACAACGAGAGUGUUUAUGGCACUCUUCCAAAAAUCCAUACCCACCUUGUGUGCAAUGUAAGGAGAAAAGUUUCGUUUCUGGAAGAGAGGGGUUCUUGGGAGAUUCGGGAUGCUUGCGCAUUCCAGAUCUCACUUGCUAUCCCCAUUUCUUCUGGCGGCGGCCUUUUUUUCUCAUCUUCAUAUACACCUUUCUAUCAGUUCCUAUUGUCUGAAACGUGAAGAAUAAACAUAAUUCUACAUACAACUUUCAACAACGGAUCUCUUGGCUCUC